rnacentral:misc_RNA from 1 species
UCAUCAGAUGAAAAUUCGUUGCAGGUAAAAAUCCCAAGUUUCAGAAACACAAUGCAAGAAUGCCCAUUCCGUGAAAAUUGAAUUAUUUUUAAAUUAACAAUGGAUCUAUGCCAAAUAUGAGAACUUUGCAACAACAGUUUUCUUGUUCCAUAAAAAUAUCAAAUUCACCUGAUAACAUACGCAUACAAUUGUAUAAACCAAAUUUCCAAAUUCCAGAAGAAACCAUAAAUGAAAAGAUUCAAUUACAAAACAAAAAUAUCACAAGAAAGUCACCAAAUGGACAAAGACCAGCAAAAAUGAAUUAUAACCCAUAUCAAAUUUUAUAUCAAAAAGCAAAAUUGAGAAAUAUGUGUGUGCGUGUGUAUACAGUAAAGAAAUAGAGUAACAGUGAAGAAUAUGGAAGGAGAGGGAGAUAAAGAGAUACCAUUUGAAUUCAAAUGAAGAAGUAAGG